rnacentral:lncRNA from 1 species
CAAAUAAAAUCUCGCUCAUGGCCUGGUGCAAGCAUUCAUUUUCCACAGAAAAUGAUAUAAUCCUUCGUCCUCCUGAACAGUCACAGAAUCAUGUUGUGGCCCUAUAUCUGAGUCACAUCUGAACUCCAAGCCUUCCGUUGCUAAUCGUUUUGUACAAAACUUGUUUCAAUUACAAGACGACGUCUAUCAUCUCUUCCUACAACUUAAACUAUGUUUCGCUUGUAAU